rnacentral:rRNA from 1 species
AUUGAACGCUGGCGACAUGCUUUACACAUGCAAGUCGAACGGUAACAGGUUAAGCUGACGAGUGGCGAACGGGUGAGUAAUGCAUCGGAACGUGCCCGGUCGUGGGGGAUAACGCAGCGAAAGCUGCGCUAAUACCGCAUACGAUCUAAGGAUGAAAGCGGGGGACCGUAAGGCCUCGCGCGAUCGGAGCGGCCGAUGUCAGAUUAGGUAGUUGGUGGGGUAAAGGCUCACCAAGCCAACGAUCUGUAGCUGGUCUGAGAGGACGACCAGCCACACUGGGACUGCGACACGGCCCAGACUCCUACGGGAGGCAGCAGUGGGGAAUUUUGUACAAUGGGCGAAAGCCUGAUCCAGCAAUGCCGCGUGCAGGAAGAAGGCCUUCGGGUUGUAAACUGCUUUUGUACGGAGCGAAAAGGUCUCCUCUAAUACAGGGGGCUCAUGACGGUACCGUAAGAAUAAGCACCGGCUAACUACGUGCCAGCCGCCGCGGUAA